AGUACCGUGUUCUGCCCUGACACAGCCAAGGCCAAGGGCAGUGUAGGCACAGCAGCCGUGACUCUCUGCUGGGAGGUUAACAGCUCCAUCAGUUCAGGGACUGCCUGACCCAGCCUGACCAAAUUAGAGCAAGAGAAAGAAUUGUGCCAUGAAAAAUGGAAAACUCCUGAGAAGCUGUUCCAGCGUCAGUAGAGCGGCAGACAAGCUGGACUGGGGAAGAUUCUUCCUGCAAGACCUGCAGAGUGUAUGACACAUAACCAGCACCCAAGAAAUGUCUACCAAGGAAUUAAUGAAUGAGGGUCCCAUACUUCCUAGCCAUGCUGUUGGCAGGGAUUAACAUUGUUGCAAUUCUCUGGGCAGACCUUGGGAGGUUUAAGCCAAUCAGUGACCCCUAUCAUCCUAGCCCCAGAGGUUGGCUUAGGGAUAGUCACCCCAAUGCAGGCCAAUGCAAGGUGACUUUGCCAGGGGCUUCUGGGAAAGAAGUUUCCUUUCUCUGAGGAAACGUGAAUGAGGACAUCCAUAACUCAGGUUGUGUCUGGCAGCCAUCUUGUGAUCAUCUGGCAAGACAGCCCAAGAAUAAAGCUGUCACCAUGGAGACUAAGAAGAGACAGAAAGACACUGGGUCUUCAUUGACUCGUCCAGCUGUACAUGAGGCCUUACUUGAAGCCCACAUGACCUCCAGACUUCUCUCUUAUGUGAGAGAAUAAAGCUCUUUUUUGUUUAGACCAAAUAAAUACAUAGUACAAUUACAUCAUCCCUUGAUUCCUUUUUAUGACUGAGCUCAGAGACUAUAUUUUGUCAUUUUAAAUCACCUUUAUCUUAAAGUUUAUUUAACUGAAACAAAUAAACAAACCAAAACACGCCAGUUUUUCACUCCUCUGUCAAAGCCUUUCCAAGAUCACUAAGCUUGUGAUGUCCUGGGUGAAUGAAGAAGUAACAGUGUUUUUAACAAAAUAGAAGCUUAUUUCUCUCUCAUAUAAAAGAAGGCUGGAGUCAGGCUGGUAUGGGAGCUACAGCAUCAUCAAAGUUCUAUCUUUUCAUCCUGCCAUCCUUAGAAUAUGGCUUUCAUCUUCAAGAUCACUUCCUAAGCUAUGAGGAUGCAAAGGUAUAAGAAUGACAUAGUGGACUUUGGGGACUCGGUGUCAGGGAAGUUGGGAGGGGUGAGGGAUAAGAGACUACAUAUUGGGUACAGUGUACACUGCUCUGAAAUCUCAGAAAUCACCACUAAAGAACCUAUCCAUGGAAUCAAAAACCACCUAUACCCCCAAAACUAUUGAAAUAAAACUAAAAAAUAAUUUUAAAAAAAAGAUAA
rnacentral:lncRNA from 1 species